rnacentral:lncRNA from 1 species
CCCUUAUCAAGACUCAAAGCAGCAUCAUUGCCAAACAUAUAAUUCAUUUGAAAAUUAAGGUCUUUCCGAAUCGACUUGACUUGCACAGAAAUGUUUGCCACUGGUCUUUACUCAAACAACGAUUCACUAAUAAAUGCAUUACUUAAAAAGUGUGAGGUAAAUGUAUUGUUUGUCUAGUACAUGUAUCUCGGAUCCGUUAAAUUACCCUUAAAACUAAAAAAAAACCAACAUUACCCCCUCCCUUUGCCAAAUACUCCUUGGAGAAGAAAUACCAUUUGAAACAAACAGAAAAGAUAGGAAUAUAGUGAUCCCUAAUAUAUCAUUCCUUCUUCUCCUUCAAUCUCUGUACCGAUGUAAUGCAUUGGCUUUAUGAGAAUGAAAAUAUAUAUUCUUCGCCUGUAAGCACGCUGCUGCAGCCUACGUUUUCUAAUUCUUAAUCGAGACAUCUUUAUUAUUUUUAAACUACUGC